GACGAACGCUGGCGGCGUGCCUAAUACAUGCAAGUAGAACGCACAGUUUAUACCGUAGCUUGCUACACCAUAGACUGUGAGUUGCGAACGGGUGAGUAACGCGUAGGUAACCUGCCUGGUAGCGGGUGAUAACUAUUGGAAACGAUAGCUAAUACCGCAUAAUAUUGAUUAUUGCAUGAUAAUUAAUUGAAAGGUGCAAUUGCACCACUACCAGAUGGACCUGCGUUGUAUUAGCUAGUAGGUGAGGUAACGGCUCACCUAGGCGACGAUACAUAGCCGACCUGAGAGGGUGAUCGGCCACACUGGGACUGAGACACGGCCCAGACUCCUACGGGAGGCAGCAGUAGGGAAUCUUCGGCAAUGGACGAAAGUCUGACCGAGCAACGCCGCGUGAGUGAAGAAGGUUUUCGGAUCGUAAAGCUCUGUUGUAAGAGAAGAACGGGUGUGAGAGUGGAAAGUUCACACUGUGACGGUAUCUUACCAGGAAGGGACGGCUAACUACGUG
rnacentral:rRNA from 1 species